GUGAAAUGAGGACAGUUAAGGUUGAUUGGAAAAUAUUGAAGCUGUGGUGGUUAGUGGUAAAUGUCAGCAAAGCGGUCAAAGCAAAAUAGUCUUUCAUCUCAAUGAACCUGUCUAAAGGGAUCAGGGCCUUCACGUACCUAUCGAGAGAAAUGCAGCACAAAUGGAGAAUAGAUGCUGUCGUCAACAAGACAUCUAAGGACGUCCGAACAAGACAGAAAGUAUUUCCAAAAUAUUCAAAGAUAACAUUGGAAGUGCAAGCAAUCUACAACAUAUCCUACAACAAUGAGUUCACUUGUCAUCAUACUUGCUACCCCAGGUUCACCACAAAGGAAAAUCUGGUUGAGAAAUUGUGUUGGUUAACAGAAUUUGAUGUGUUAACUGACUCGUGAAAUCCCAGGUUUGAGAGCAUGGAAAUACCCACCGUAGCUGCCGAUCCUUACAGACAGCCACCAUCACCAGAAGAUUUCCCAAAACAGUCAUCAUCAUAACA